UUGCACGCUGGCGGCAGGCCUAACACCUGCAAGUCGAGCGGAUGAAGGGAGCUUGCUCCUGGAUUCAGCGGCGGACGGGUGAGUAAUGCCUAGGAAUCUGCCUGGUAGUGGGGGAUAACGUCCGGAAACGGGCGCUAAUACUGCAUACGUCCUGAGGGAGAAAGUGGGGGAUCUUCGGACCUCACGCUAUCAGAUGAGCCUAGGUCGGAUUAGCUAGUUGGUGGGGUAAAGGCCUACCAAGGCGACGAUCCGUAACUGGUCUGAGAGGAUGAUCAGUCACACUGGAACUGAGACACGGUCCAGACUCCUACGGGAGGCAGCAGUGGGGAAUAUUGGACAAUGGGCGAAAGCCUGAUCCAGCCAUGCCGCGUGUGUGAAGAAGGUCUUCGGAUUGUAAAGCACUUUAAGUUGGGAGGAAGGGCAGUAAGUUAAUACCUUGCUGUUUUGACGUUACCAACAGAAUAAGCACCGGCUAACUUCGUG
rnacentral:rRNA from 1 species